UCAGGUGUAGCAAAAUAGAAGAUGAAGGUCUAGCUGUGCCAGUCGGUGCUGAGCCACACAGUUGCUGCUGGCAUGUUUGCAAAAUAGCACAAGGUGUAGCAAAAUAGAAGAUGAAGGUCUAGCUGUGCCAGUCGGUGCUGAGCCACACAGUUGCUGCUGGCAUGUUUGCAAAAUAGCACAAGGUGUAGCAAAAUAGAAGAUGAAGGUCUAGCUGUGCCAGUCAGUGCUGAGCCACACAGUUGCUGCUGGCAUGUUUGCAAAAUAGCAAAAGGUGUAGCAAAAUAGAAGAUGAAGGUCUAGCUGUGCCAGUCAGUGCUGAGCCACACAGUUGCUGCUGGCAUGUUUGCAAAAUAGCACAAGGUGCUGUAAAAUGAAGAUAUAUUGUUAAAUAUCAUGAGAUAGAAAUAAAAGAUGAAGAUCUAGCUGUACCCGUCCCGAGCCACACUACUGCAGCCACGUUGCUGCUGGCAUUUUUGCAAAAUAGCACAAGGUCACAACAAUUGAUGUAACAAAUAUAAUCAAUGGACCAGGCACCUGCACCAUGAUUCUUUGGAAUACUAAAAUUCGUCUCUUUAUGUCUGUACUUCUCAUAAUGAAAAAUGUCACGUUUUUAUGAAAGAAAUAAUGGAAUCAAAUAAUAAAUAAAACAAGCAUAUGCUGGAAGUCCUCAGAAACAGCUCCGACUUUGAUGAUUUUUUUUAAAGUAAUGUUUUUUAUGUUAUUUAAAAUCAGAAAUGUUUUGGUGGACGAAAUUAUUUAAAUUGUUAAAAAAUAUCUAUGCUAUUUAUACAUAUUUUUUUUUUAAAUACAACCGACUUCAAAAAUACAAACUUAUGCAGAAAACUAACAAACGAAAGAAAAUAUUAUAAUAUUUUCUAUCUAUUGAUCACUUUGAAGGCGGUGCCAAUGUUCCAAUUAAUGGGCCGACAAUUAGUUAUCUAUUGUUUACUAGCUAUAGGGCUCGAAUUGCUUUUUCAUAUCUUUAAAAGACUAUCUUCGGAAUGAACCCUUUAUAAUAAAAAAGUAUUAUCAAAAUCGGACCACUCAAUAAAAAGUUAUACUUGGUUGUAUACUAAAAUUAAUGGUUAAACAAUCAAUCAUCCCCUGUUUUCGUAAUGUAAAACCAAGAAUAACUGUUAACAUGAGUAGUCCGAUUUUGAUAAUUCUUUUGAUUGAUCAUUCUUGAUUGUUUUAGUUUAAAACCAAGCAUGUCUUCGAAUUCCGAUUUGAAUAACUUUGUUUUAAAUAGAAAGGGUAUAUUCCGACAAUGGUCCCAAAUCAUUAUAAAUUUUAAAAAAACGAAGAUGACUGGUUAUUUUCCCAUUAAUUGUAUUGUAAAACUAUGCGUAACUUAUUACGAAGUGGUCCGAUUUCGUAAAUUCUUUAUAGAUUGUAAAGGUAUUUUGAUUGUAAAGCUCCCAUAUAAAUUUUAAAAAACAAUUCCAAUCCUUAAUGUGCGAUUGAUUGUUUUCUCAUUCAUUUUAAUGUAAAACCAAGCAUAAGUUUUUAUUGGGUGGUUCUAUUUUGAUUAUUCUUUUUUUGAUAGAAAGGGUAUAUUCCUAAAAGUCUCAUAAAAUGUUGGAAAACAAUAUCAAACCUAAUAGUAGGAAAAUAGAAGAUGAUUAAUUGUUUUUCCAUUUAUUGUAAUGCGUAACUUUUUACUGAGUGGACCGAUUUUGAAAAUUCUUUACUUUUUGUAAAGGGUUUAUUUCGAAGUAGGUCCCAUAUAAAUUUCGGAAAACAAUUCGAAUCCUUAAGGUGGAAAAAAAACUGUACGAUUGAUUGCCUACCCAUUAAUUGUACAAUUGGCACCGGCUUCAAAGUAAUCAGUAGAUAUGAAAUAUUAUAAUGUUUUCUUCAGCUUAUUAGUUUACUGCAUAACUUUGUGUUUUUGAAGUCGGUAGUGUUUGUUUUUUAAUUAUUUAUUAUAUAAAUAGCAUAACUAUUGUUAAAUAGUAUAAAUCGUUCCAUCCUCACUCCAAAAGGUUUCUGAUUUCAAAUAAUAUGAAGAAACAAACUGAACAAAAAAAAUCAUCAAAAUCAGAGCUGUUUCUGAGGAAGUAGAGGGUAAAUGCUCUAUUGAUUCGCCUAAAAGUAAUAUUAUGAUUUUUUAUCGCAUUAGGUUGUAAAGUUCCGCUAGUGAAAGUAGAGACUGAAAUUGCCCGCCAAAUUUAAAAAUCAUAUAAACAAAGUAAAAAAACAUGCGUUUUCAUAAUUUACUUAAAUUAGUUUUUAUUUGUGAAUAUACUAUUACCUAUACUAUAAGUGUUAAACUCAGUUAUUCCAAUAUUUGCACUAUAAUUUUGAGAAUUUACUCCGAUUUUUUAAAAUUUGGCGGGUGAUUUCAGUUUCUACUUUUAUUAGCCAAAUUCUAAUAAUUUUAUUGUUUAUGAAAUUUAUACUAAUUAGAAAGAGGAAGAAUUUGAUUAUUUGUUUGUUUGCAUUGAAUAGGCUCUGAAACUACUUUGCUGAUUUAAAAAUUUCUUACAGCAUUAUAAUCAUGGAUUAGGCCAUAAUUGUUAUCUCUGUAUUCCCACGGGAACGAGAACUACGCUGGUGAAACUGCGUGACGUUUGCAUAGUUUAUCAUAUGUACAAAUAUCCCGACAAUCUAUAUUUUUAUGUAUGAAUUGGUUAAGUUAUAAUUGACUUGAUUUUCCCAAAUAUAUCAGUGAAGUCACCCAAUUGAUGCAUAGAUAUAUUUUUAUUUUGGUUUUCAUUUUACUUACUUACUAAAAUUUAGUUUUAGAAGCAAAAUGAAUAUAUGUAGAUUACAUUUUAGGUGCUGAUGUUUACUUAGUUAUUGAUUAAGUGCAUAAGAUUUUUUAUUUGAUAAUAAAGACAUUUCAACUUGAAA